GGAGAGAUGGCCGAGUGGUUUAAGGCAGCGGUCUUGAAAACCGCCGUAGGUUAACGCCUACCGUGGGUUCGAAUCCCACUCUCUCCG
rnacentral:tRNA from 1 species